rnacentral:misc_RNA from 2 species
GCAUGUGAGUGGUGAUGGAUUUGUAUGUCGCGGUGGGCUCCCUGCUAUUGUGCAGUAGACCACCGACGCCGCAAGUCUCUUCAAUGGCACUCUGUUUGAAUGGAGAUGCGUGUGUUGCCUGUACAAUCUACCUAGUUCCUUUGGAAAUAGACAUUGUUUACCUCGCUUAUCCACUUCUCAUGUCCUAUGUGAAUGAGGAGUGUCGAUGUCCGUGCACCUUGUGUGUCCUCGAACGAUUGCAUGUCUCAGACCUCUCGUUUCGAGUGGCUCCAGUGUUCACGUGAGUGCUCUUGGAUGCAGUGGAUAAGAAUGUACCAUGGGUCUUCGGACUCUUGGCACAUGAUCGGUUGGCUUUCUUAGUCGCCCUUUGACGGAUGACGGCCUUCCCAUCGGUGCCCCCUUUCCCUUGUGGUAAUGGGUCGGCAUGUUGGGCUUGGCGUCGUAGAGGACGUGCUACC